GCCUUCGUGGUAUAGUGGUAAGCACGCUCGACGCGUAACCGAGAGGUCCGUGGUUCGAUUCCCGGCGAAAGCG
rnacentral:tRNA from 1 species